GGGAUAACCCGGAGAAAUCCGGCCUAAUACCGCAUGUGGCCGAGGGGAGGCAUCUUCUUUCGGCCAAAGGAGGCGACUCCGGAGACGGAUGGGCAUGCGUGACAUUAGCUUGUUGGCGGGGUAACGGCCCACCAAGGCGACGAUGUCUAGGGGUUCUGAGAGGAAGGUCCCCCACACUGGUACUGAGACACGGACCAGACUCCUACGGGAGGCAGCAGUGAGGAAUAUUGGUCAAUGGGCGAGAGCCUGAACCAGCCAAGUCGCGUGAAGGAUGACGGCCCUAUGGGUUGUAAACUUCUUUUGUCAGGGAGCAAUUGGGUCCACGCGUGGGCUUAGCGAGAGUACCUGAAGAAAAAGCAUCGGCUAACUCCGUGCCAGCAGCCGCGGUAAUACGGAGGAUGCGAGCGUUAUCCGGAUUUAUUGGGUUUAAAGGGUGCGUAGGCGGAAUAUCAAGUCAGCGGUAAAAAUUCGGGGCUCAACCCCGUCGUGCCGUUGAAACUGAUGUUCUUGAGUGGGCGAGAAGUAUGCGGAAUGCGUGGUGUAGCGGUGAAAUGCAUAGAUAUCACGCAGAACUCCGAUUGCGAAGGCAGCAUACCGGCGCCCAACUGACGCUGAAGCACGAAAGCGUGGGUAUCGAACAGGAUUAGAUACCCUGGUAGUCCACGCAGUAAACGAUGAAUGCUAAUUGUCCGGA
rnacentral:rRNA from 1 species